UACGUAGGGUCCGAGCGUUGUCCGGAAUUACUGGGCGUAAAGAGCUCGUAGGUGGUUUGUCGCGUUGUUCGUGAAAACUCACAGCUUAACUGUGGGCGUGCGGGCGAUACGGGCAGACUUGAGUACUGCAGGGGAGACUGGAAUUCCCGGUGUAGCGGUGAAAUGCGCAGAUAUCAGGAAGAACACCCGUGGCGAAGGCGGCUCUCUGGAACGCAACUGACGCUGAGACGCGAAAGCGUGGGGAGCAAACAGG
rnacentral:rRNA from 1 species